rnacentral:rRNA from 1 species
UACGAAGGGGGCUAGCGUUGUUCGGAAUUACUGGGCGUAAAGCGCGCGCAGGCGGCUAUCCAAGUCAGUGGUGAAAGCCCGGAGCUCAACUCCGGAACUGCCAUUGAAACUGUUCAGCUUGAGGACGAGAGAGGUGAGUGGAAUUCCCAGUGUAGAGGUGAAAUUCGUAGAUAUUGGGAAGAACACCGGUGGCGAAGGCGGCUCACUGGCUCGUAUCUGACGCUCAGGCGCGACAGCGUGGGGAUCAAACAGG